UACACAUGUACUGCUAUAAGGGAGCGAAAUAUUACGCCGGUGUUACAGAGGAGUAAACUGAGGCAUAGCGACUUUACACCACUUGCUUUAGGCAACACAGAUGGUUAAUGGGAAUGGAGGGAAUAUAAUUAGUAAUUCUGGAUUAUACUGAGCUAUUUAAAUCACAAGACUUUUUUUCUCUCUGAGGUGCUUCUUAUUCAUUAGGACCUGGUUUGGAAAGAUUUAUAAGAAAAGCUGCAGACAGAAAUCUGUAAGGACUUUCAAAAGCACUGUUCAAGUCCAAGGAGAGUUUGGGUCCUAAAUCCCGAAGAGCACCUGGGUCUGAGACUUGUGCAGAGAUGAAGAACCUCAGGCCAUGUCUCCGCACUAGCACAGCGCUGAGAUAAUGCAGUAGGACCUGCCCCAUGGGAGGUAAAGCAAGAAAGCACACAGUGAAGUCCAGCUCAUCUUUAGGGGUGGAAACCUUGAAGCUUUUCAGACACAAUCAUUCUUCACAUCCCUCCUUGAUAAAAUUCUCAGCAGUCAGCACAGAUUUAAGAAGAAAAAAAAAAGACACUGCCUGUCCUGUUUCUCAACAUUUGGAAAGUUUUAAGGAGUACUGCAGGUGAGAGUAUGGUCACAAAUGUAUUUUAUUUUUCAUAAUUUCUCUCCAGAUUUUAGAAUGAAAAAUGUUAACGUCUGUUCUAACAUCUGAGAAUCUUUCGGAGCCCUUUUAGAAAACAAGCAGUGAGGCAAAACAGAACAUACAAACUGUAUUUUAUUUAUGCAGAUAAGAUUUGUGUGAAAUCAGGAUUUGAUUUUUGACUAAGUGCUCACAGGUGAUUGUAUUUACAGUGCUGAAAUGCUGUGAUAUGCUACAAUAUAUCAUAGACCAAAUUCGGAAUAUUUGUAGUGUGAGUACUGAAAAACGCAUGGAGCUGAAACAUAAAGGGAAAACACUGAGCAAUGUGGGGAAAAGGCAGGUCCAGAUUUGUAUUUGUCACUUAACCUACUUAAUUCUAAGUCUAAGGGAGUUGUAAUUCUGACUGUCAUCCAGGAAAAAAUGUGAAGUGCUUUUUCAAAUAAAAAAAAAUGUUCCUGCUGCUUUUUCAGUGGAUUGUUUGGUACAAGCUGAGCUGCUACAGUGAAAGAGAAAAUUGCAUUUUGAAGGGCAAAACCACAAUGCAGAAGUUUACCUUUCAGAAUUCAUAUAUAAACACAAACCGUGAAAUGCUAAACUGUAAAAGCGGCAUCGUAUUUAGAG
rnacentral:lncRNA from 1 species